rnacentral:rRNA from 1 species
CGCAAGCCUGACGGAGCCAGACCGCGUGGGGGAGGAAGGCCCUUGGGUUGUAAACCCCUUUUCUCAGGGAAGAAGUUCUGACGGUACCUGAGGAAUCAGCCUCGGCUAACUCCGUGCCAGCAGCCGCGGUAAUACGGAGGAGGCAAGCGUUAUCCGGAAUCAUUGGGCGUAAAGCGUUCGUAGGCGGCUGUUCAAGUCUGCUGUCAAAGGUCGGAGCUUAACUCCGGUUCGGCAGUGGAAACUGGUGCGCUAGAGGGCGACAGGGGUAGAGGGAAUUCCCAGUGUAGCGGUGAAAUGCGUAGAGAUUGGGAAGAACACCGGUGGCGAAAGCGCUCUACUGGGUCGCACCUGACCCUCAGGGACGAAAGCUAAGGUAGCG